AACUCGCCUGCAUGAAGUCGGAAUUGCUAGUAAUCGCAGAUCAGCAUGCUGCGGUGAAUACGUUCCCGGGCCUUGUACACACCGCCCGUCACACCAUGGGAGUCGGUAACACCCGAAGUCGGUAGCCUAACCGUAAGGAGGGCGCCGCCGAAGGUGGGAUUGAUGACUGGGGUGAAGUCGUAACAAGGUAAC
rnacentral:rRNA from 1 species